AUUUCAGGGGGACAUUUUCUGAUUAAGGCCUUGUAUCUCUCCCAUGCCUCAUAGAGAGAUUCUCCAUCCAUCUGAGUGAAUAUUUGGACCUCUAUUUUGAGUCU